AAUUGCUUGUAGUCACCUUCACAAUGUUAUUGAAGUUCGAGCUGGGAUCUGAAUUCUGACUGAAGUUUGCGAAGGGUUUGGGAAAACGUGAGACUCACAAGAUUCGAAUACCCCCAGACACAAAGACCCCUUUCUGCAAUCUAUUUUUGAAUUCCAAGCACCCUCAGCUUCUGAAAUCCUGGCCACAGGAAUGCUGUCG
rnacentral:lncRNA from 1 species